GGAAAGGCGCGCGAUACAGGGUGACAGCCCCGUACACAAAAAUGCACAUGCUGUGAGCUCGAUGAGUAGGGCGGGACACGUGGUAUCCUGUCUGAAUAUGGGGGGACCAUCCUCCAAGGCUAAAUACUCCUGACUGACCGAUAGUGAACCAGUACCGUGAGGGAAAGGCGAAAAGAACCCCGGCGAGGGGAGUGAAAAAGAACCUGAAACCGUGUACGUACAAGCAGUGGGAGCACGCUUAGGCGUGUGACUGCGUACCUUUUGUAUAAUGGGUCAGCGACUUAUAUUCUGUAGCAAGGUUAACCGAAUAGGGGAGCCGAAGGGAAACCGAGUCUUAACUGGGCGUUAAGUUGCAGGGUAUAGACCCGAAACCCGGUGAUCUAGCCAUGGGCAGGUUGAAGGUUGGGUAACACUAACUGGAGGACCGAACCGACUAAUGUUGAAAAAUUAGCGGAUGACUUGUGGCUGGGGGUGAAAGGCCAAUCAAACCGGGAGAUAGCUGGUUCUCCCCGAAAGCUAUUUAGGUAGCGCCUCGUGAAUUCAUCUCCGGGGGUAGAGCACUGUUUCGGCAAGGGGGUCAUCCCGACUUACCAACCCGAUGCAAACUGCGAAUACCGGAGAAUGUUAUCACGGGAGACACACGGCGGGUGCUAACGUCCGUCGUGAAGAGGGAAACAACCCAGACCGCCAGCUAAGGUCCCAAAGUCAUGGUUAAGUGGGAAACGAUGUGGGAAGGCCCAGACAGCCAGGAUGUUGGCUUAGAAGCAGCCAUCAUUUAAAGAAAGCGUAAUAGCUCACUGGUCGAGUCGGCCUGCGCGGAAGAUGUAACGGGGCUAAACCAUGCACCGAAGCUGCGGCAGCGACGCUGAUGCGUUGU
rnacentral:rRNA from 1 species